UUACUUGCUUCGGUAGUACAUACACUAAAAUUGGAACGAUACUGAGAAGAUUAGCAUGGCCCCUGCGCAAAGAUGACAGCAAAAUCGUGAAGCGUUCCACAUUUUU
rnacentral:snRNA from 1 species